rnacentral:sRNA from 14 species
CUUCGACGCUCAGUUCACGAAAUUCUUGACAAUGCAUUACGAGGUAUACGCUACUUGUUAGUUAAUGCAACAACAAGAAAAGACGCCAACAAUAAUAUUGUGGGCGUUGUAGGUG